GUCCGGAUUUUAGCUCCACUGCCUCCACACUGUAGCCAGCCAGACUCCCCACCACAGUGACACAAACCAACCAGCCGCCUCGAGAGGUUGCUGAAGAGGUAUGCAGCGAUGGUCUGGAGGAAAAAAUAGUCACAUGGACUGGUGUGCAUUCCAGUACUUGAAAUGAUGCUGUUGCUCAGGCACAUCCAGGUGCGAGGAUGGGGGAGAUCCGGAUGUCGCUAAAUAAAAGAAUCUGUGAACUGCUUCACCAAGAGAAAAAGAAGUCCAUGGACAGGCCUAUGAGCCCUCUUGUUGACCUUGAGUGACUAAGGCUGCGGGCGGUCUGCCCCUGAAUUCACCUUCACUUUCUUUUCUUUUUUUAAAAAUAUAUCUGAAGGUGUGUGUGUGUGUGUGUGUGUGCGCGCGCGCGGGGGUGUGUGUGUGUGCGCGUGUGUGUGCACGCGUGCAUGUGUGCCAGUGCUUUAUGUGAGGUGUUUCGCUUACCGGCCACAGCCACAGUUUUUGUUUUGUUUUCUUUUUGUUUUGUUUGGGUUUUUUUUUUUGUUUUUUAUUUGGGUUUUUUUUUAGAAUAUUUCUGCUUUUUCAUUAAGUACAAGUUACUGGCCAAAGUGGGAGACUGAAAUUGUUACUGGCCACAGGCAAGUUUCACCAGUAUUUGGCCUGUUGGCCGGUGUCGUGGUCAAGUCGUUUCCCUGCCUGUCUGCCCCUCUGUCUCUGCAUGUGUGAGCGGUGGUGUUAAAGGGUCGGUUGGUUUCAUGUUUUUAAUAAACCAAUGUCAACAGUUGAAUGAAUUGAAUUGAUGUUUGGUCAUUGUUGUAAUUACAUUACUUCAUAAAUGCCUUGUAUAAAGUACGUUACAGUAUAUUGUGUAGUGUAAUGCAAUACAUAAGUCAAUAUAUGAUUUAAUUAAUAAGCCAUAUACUAUGGGAUAUAAUCCAAUAUAUGCAACAGUAUAC